GAUGAACGCUGGCGGCGUGCCUAAUACAUGCAAGUCGAGCGAACACUUCGGUGUUAGCGGCGAACGGGUGAGUAACACGUAAGUAACCUACCUAUAAGACUGGGAUAACUAUUGGUAACGAUAGCUAAUACCGGAUAGGACGAAAGUUUAAAGAUGCUUCUGGCAUCACUUAUAGAGGGGCUUGCGGCGCAUUAGCUAGUUGGUAGGGUAAAGGCCUACCAAGGCGACGAUGCGUAGCCGACCUGAGAGGGUGAACGGCCACACUGGGACUGAGACACGGCCCAGACUCCUACGGGAGGCAGCAGUGGGGAAUAUUGCGCAAUGGGGGAAACCCUGACGCAGCAACGCCGCGUGGGUGACGAAGGCCUUCGGGUCGUAAAGCCCUGUCGUGUGGGAAGAAGCUCUGACGGUACCACACAAGAAAGCCACGGCUAACUCCGUG
rnacentral:rRNA from 1 species